CUUAGUGCCAUGGUUGUCCACUGGGGCAAUUUCAGCAGAUGUUUGACAAUGUCUACAGACAGUUUUGGAUGUCACCAUGGCAGUGGGUGGAGGGGAGGGUGUUGCUAGUGGUGACUAGUAACUGGAGGCCAGAAAUGCUGCUAGACUUCCUAUAGUACACAGGAAAGUCCCUUCCAAUAAGGAGUGUAUGGCCCCAAAUCUCAACAGCACUGAGGCUGAGAAACUCUGCCCUAGAGAUGACAACUUUUAUCUUUGACUCAUGAAAAUUUAAUGUCAAUUUGGUAACUUUACAAGUUUCCCAGAAAGUGUAAUAGAAUACUGCAACUCCUUUGCCCAAUUUCAACUCAUGUGCUAUCAGUGUUGGGCAUUCUCCAUAUAUUUUAAACCCCACAAGAUAUUAUUGUUAUUUUUGAUAUAGUCAGUUCUUCAUUUAGACUUUCCCAGAGCUCUGCAUUUCUUCCUGGAUCUCUGACCUUCCAUAUGGAAUCCUUUUCCUUCUGCCUAAAGAACUCCCUUUAUCUCCUGGAGUGUUGAUCUAUCUGCUGGUGCCGAACUGCUGGAACCAAGGAGGUCCUCAGAUCUGGCCACAUGAGAAAGCAGCAAGGUGCAGGAAAACAGCCACAGACAUUACAGUCCACCAGACCAGGGUCCGCGACCAUUUGUGCCUGUCACUCACUCAUGGCUUCGGCCAAAUCAUUUCAGUGUCUUCAUAUAUAAAAUGGAACUGGUGAUGCCUGACAUGCUCCUCAGGUGCCCAACCAGGAGGCCCUAAGACAACAUUUCUCUAAGCUUCAAGCAAGAUCUUGACACAGACAUGGACUGCCAUGCAUUACUGGGAAUGAUGACCACAUCAAAGGUGCAAGGAUGUGGAUUAAGUGUCAGCUGUAGCUCUCAUUCAGGCUUCACAGCCACCGUGUGGGGCAGGUGGGACCACACCUGGCAGGUUUCACAUGGGAACUCCGAGAGCAUAUUAGGUUAUGGGCACCAUUAGAACUGAAAGGAUUAUUUUCAAGUCCCAUUUCUAGCACACCUGUAGGGUCUCAAUGCGUGUUUGUUGAGUGAAAGAAGGAACUUCCCCACCCCACUCAUCCUAUAUUCUACUGUGUCAACUAUUCACCCUUGGAGGGCAAAGAGUGGGGCAACUCCUGGGCCUUCAUUCUGCAGUCACUUUUCAUGGGGAGAGUGCCCCCUUUCUGACCUCCUGAGAUUCCAGUCGCUGGCAUGAAAACCCAUCCUUGGCUGCCUUAUUCCCUGACAGGUGGGGAGUGAUGCCUUUUGCCAUUCAUGAAAAAAAAAUGUAAAUGGUGACAAAAGCUAUUUUUAUAAUGUUUUUAUCUAUUCCAUGACUGACAUCAAUAACACAUAACAGUUUCAUUGACAUUGUAUCGCAUCCAAUGGGCCCAGUGACCUGAUUCAAUGUCAGUAGAAAAGCCUCGUACAUCAUCCCCGUGGCUGAAUUGCAACAGAUCCAUUACCAAUGCUUCAACCUCAGAAGUGUCCCGGAACCGACGCCAAGUCCAUUUCAAGUCCUCCUUCCCAAUCUUCCUGUUUUGUAACUGCCUUAGCUAUCUUACCAUGGACUCAGUCACCCUUUGGCUCACCCCCUUAAGUUGUUCCAUCCCUGAACUUACCGAGUUUCGAGGGUCAGGACAGGUCUGUGCAUUUGGUACUAUGUGUCACAUAGUAGGAGCUCAAUUUAUGAAUAAAUGAGAGGGGGAAUGGCGGGGAGGAGGAAAGAAUGGAAUGUGGGUCUACACCUCAGUUACAGCGUGAGUGCUUUUGCAUGGCUCUGUGUUCCUUGCAGCACUAGGACUCAGCUAGAACAUCCAUAACAACUCAGGGUCCUUGGAGGAGUAAAACUUAUUCUCAUUGCACCAGCUGGCUCUGCUGGGACUGAAUGUAAUCAGAAAAGAGAGAAGGCUUUAGGACAUUUUUGUAAAAUGAAAACCUACUGUGGGAGAGAACUCCCUGCCCCAGACUUCAGCCCCAGGACCUGGAAGCCAGCCAGCACCUGAGGAAGAGGAGGCCGCCCAGCCAGGUGCCUGUGCUGGACUCACAGAGAGAAGCCUCCCAGCCAGACCCACCUUGGUUCUCCUCAUCUUCUCAGCUACACAAAAUGGGAACGGACAUUGACUCUGCAAUCUUAUUACAUGGGUUUAAGAGAGCCCUCACUAAUAUAGCAAUAUAUGUGUCAUUUGUCUCACUAGUAAGGCUGUUUAGUAGUCAAAACUGUAGAAAAUUGAAUAUACACUUACUGUAUAAAAAUGAUAUGCUUGGUUAGUGAUAGUUUAAAAGAAAUAAGUACAUCUAUCAUAGAAGAACUGGCUGUCAGCUCUUUAUAUGUAAGAAAAAUAUUGAACACAAAUGUGAUAAAUGUUGGGCACUAUUUUACAAAAGUUAUCCAACGAAGUUGGUUUACAGUAAGUUCUUCCCAGCAAAGAGGAAGAUAAAAGGAAAAGAGAGAGACAAUGGAUAGAAGAAAACAAGACAAAGGGGGUGGGGAACAAGGAGAGAGACCGAGGGAAAGAAGAGCUCCAAAGUGUUGAGAGAAAAGGCCCC
rnacentral:lncRNA from 10 species